UGGGGAAUCUUGCGCAAUGCGCGAAAGCGUGACGCAGCAACGCCGCGUGCGGGAAGACGGCCUUCGGGUUGUAAACCGCUUUCAGUUGGGACGAAGCUUCGCCGGUGAAUAGCCGGCCGGAGUGACGGUACCUUCACAAGAAGCCCCGGCUAACUACGUGCCAGCAGCCGCGGUAAUACGUAGGGGGCAAGCGUUGUCCGGAAUCAUUGGGCGUAAAGCGCGUGUAGGCGGCUUCGUCAGUCCGUUGUGAAAGUCCAGGGCUCAACCCUGGAAUGCCGAUGGAUACUGCGGAGCUCGAGUCCGGAAGAGGCAAGUGGAAUUCCUGGUGUAGCGGUGAAAUGCGCAGAUAUCAGGAGGAACACCAAUGGCGAAGGCAGCUUGCUGGGACGGUACUGACGCUGAGACGCGAAAGCGUGGGGAGCAAACA
rnacentral:rRNA from 1 species